rnacentral:rRNA from 1 species
UACGUAGGGGGCAAGCGUUGUCCGGAAUCAUUGGGGGUAAAGCGCGUGUAGGCGGCUCGAUAAGUCUGCUGUGAAAGUCCAGGGCUCAACCCUGGGAUGCCGGUGGAUACUGUCGAGCUCGAGUCCGGAAGAGGCGAGUGGAAUUCCUGGUGUAGCGGUGAAAUGCGCAGAUAUCAGGAGGAACACCAAUGGCGAAGGCAGCUCGCUGGGACGUGACUGACGCUGAGACGCGAAAGCGUGGGGAGCAAACAGG